CCGUGCUAGGCGGGGAGCUGGCGGUGCCCUGAACCCGCAAUCCGCCAUAGCGGGGCCGAACUCCCGCCCGAGGCCGGGGCUGGGGUGUCUGCCCUCAGGUGAGGGCGAUGAUGGCUAGGCCCUGUGCGACGGGGCCCUAUGAACCCCGUCAGGCCCGGAAGGGAGCAGCGGUAAGUGGGCGCCCCGGGUGCCAUAGGUCACCCUGGCCGGAGCCCGAUCCUGUGGGCAAGGCCGUGGCGCCGUGUCGAAGGCGGGUGCACGG
rnacentral:SRP_RNA from 1 species